rnacentral:tRNA from 1 species
UAGCUCAGUUGGUAGAGCACCACCUUGACAUGGUGGGGGUCACAGGUUCGAGUCC